rnacentral:misc_RNA from 1 species
AUAAGUACACUGAUGUUUACCUUUCUGAAGUGUAAUAGGAAGAUCAAGGCUAGGAUCAUUAUCAUUGAAUGCUGGAUUUGCCAACGAAGAGGUUGGCAAAAGGCAUGGUCAUGAGUAUCUUGGAGAGUAGAUAUGGGCAACAGGUGGCCGAAUAGGUGUUGAAGCUACUACAAGAUUGUCUAGAGAACUAACAGAAUGGGUUAUAGUAUAAACAAAUUAAUCAUCUUCCUUCCCCCAACUCUCGUAGAUAUGAGAGUAAAGAAAGAAUGGAGUAUUUUUCAAGGAAGGUGACAUCUACUAAAACAAGAUAACGGUUAAGAGUAAGAGAGUAGCAUCUGUAACCCUUUUGAAAAUGAUGAUGCUUAGUAAACUGUCAUGACUCACAAUCUAAAGAUGAAACAUUAUGGUAUUAAGUAAAUAGUUUCUUCAAGGAAGACAGAAAGGGAUGCUCGAGUCUACAACGCACUCAAAAGGAGUUAAGACACUGGAAUAAGUAAUGGAUCUUGGCACAUGUGUGUCAAGUAUAUAGAGGCCUUCAGACUCAUGACCUCUACCAAUGUCUACUUUAUCGUAAGAUCCUGAAAUAAAGAAUGAUAAAAACAAUGAGACAACAAUUCAAGACUUAGGUGAUUUUACUAACAUAAAUUAGAUUGAAAGAAAACUCAAGUAAACAAUGAUUAUCCUUUUUUUUGAACGAUAAAAAGCCCUACAUAUAUCAUAAAUAUGAGAAACAUUGCCUUGACUAGAAUACAGGAAAACAUGAUAAGCCAUCAGCUCUUUAAUAAAUUCACAAUGGUUGAUUGAGAUAAUUACCUCACUAUCAAUAGAAUUUCGAAUCUAAAAGAACAAUCGAGCAUCAACUCUCAUCUGGGUCUGCCUUGUAUCAUCAUAGGAGUAAGAUGAUCAUCCUUAUCAAU